rnacentral:rRNA from 1 species
AGGACGAACGCUGGCGGCGUGCUUAACACAUGCAAGUCGAACGAGGCCCUACCUUCGGGUAGGUGACCUAGUGGCGAACGGGUGAGUAACACGUGGGCAACCUACCCUCAGCUCUGGGAUAACCCCGGGAAACCGGAGCUAAUACCGGAUAUGACCUUGCGCGACAUCGCGCUUGGUGGAAAGUUUUUCGGCUGAGGAUGGGCCCGCGGCCUAUCAGCUUGUUGGUGGGGUAAUGGCCCACCAAGGCGACGACGGGUAGCCGGCCUGAGAGGGCGAACGGCCAACGACUGGGACUGGAGACACGGCCCAGACUCCUACGGGAGGCAGCAGUGGGGAAUAUUGCGCAAUGGGCGAAAGCCUGACGCAGCGACGCCGCGUGAGGGAUGAAGGCCUUCGGGUUGUAAACCUCUUUCAGCAGGACGAAGCGAAAGUGACGGUACCUGCAGAAGAGCACCGGCAACUACGUGCCAGCAGCCGC